rnacentral:lncRNA from 1 species
GACAAGUUGAGCUUCAGCUUAAGUAUAGAAACUCGGGAACAUUUUACUAUAAAGGAAUAGCCUUGGAAGAUCCUUAAAGAAGUAACAACAAAAGUAGCUGUGAGAAGAAGAUACUGUGAUUAACACUAGAAAACCUUAAAAAGUGAUCUCAGCAGCUUUGGAAACAUCUGCUUGCCAAAUCACACAGCAAUAUAUAUUGGGUGCAGUCUCUACAUGGCAUGCUGAGUUUAGGGAAAUCUGUGAGCUGCUUUCCUUUUCCACAAAAGGGGCUCAGGUUUCCCUGGUGUGCAUAAUGGCACGUUUCAGGACCUGAGAUUACAGGAGUACAUGGGGAUUUGG